rnacentral:rRNA from 1 species
AGUGAACGCCGGCGGUAGGCCUAACACAUGCAAGUCGAACGGCAGCACAGUAAGAGCUUGCUCUUACGGGUGGCGAGUGGCGGACGGGUGAGGAAUACAUCGGAAUCUACUUUUUCGUGGGGGAUAACGUAGGGAAACUUACGCUAAUACCGCAUACGACCUACGGGUGAAAGCAGGGGAUCUUCGGACCUUGCGCGAUUGAAUGAGCCGAUGUCGGAUUAGCUAGUUGGCGGGGUAAAGGCCCACCAAGGCGACGAUCCGUAGCUGGUCUGAGAGGAUGAUCAGCCACACCGGAACUGAGACACGGUCCAGACUCCUACGGGAGGCAGCAGUGGGGAAUAUUGGACAAUGGGCGCAAGCCUGAUCCAGCCAUACCGCGUGGGUGAAGAAGGCCUUCGGGUUGUAAAGCCCUUUUGUUGGGAAAGAAAAGCAGCAGGUUAAUACCCCGCUGUUCUGACGGUACCCAAAGAAUAAGCACCGGCUAACUUCGUG